GGAGAGGUGGCCGAGCGGCUGAAGGCGACGGUUUGCUAAACCGUUAUACGGGUAUAACCUGUAUCGUGGGUUCGAAUCCCAUCCUCUCCG
rnacentral:tRNA from 1 species